AGAGGAAAUUUUGCGCGAUCUACUGUGGGUAUUAGAGGAGAAAGAGGGGUAGCUACCGUUGUUAAGGCCAAACGAGGGGCGGACGAGGAGGGAGCUUCACCGUCGCAUCGGAGUCACACCGAGAGAGCGAGGAGGUGAAGGGAGAAGCUGUGUGAAGGGAACCUUUAGAGAGAGAGAGUAGACUGUUGGGUCGAGGCAGAGGGGAGUAAACGGUCUUGUUGGACGUUUUGGAAAAUGUUGAAGAGAGUGUCUGGAGAGGAGUGAGAUGGUAAGGGGACAAACAUAUGGAGAACCAAACAAAAAAAAAGAGAAGUAAUCCUGCUGAGGGGGAGUCAGGAAGAAAGAGUAAACCUGCUGUUUGUUUUCUAGUAGUGCAGAAGAAAGGGAGUGUCUGAAGAGGAGUUGAAGGGUAAGGAAAAGAGAAUAAUAAUAAUAGUAAUAGAAAGGCAGAGAGAGGGAAACAGUGAGAAAAAAAAUAAAAAUAAACAAAAAAAGAGAACAAGGCAAGAUUGGAGAAGAGGAAACAAUGAGGCUGCAAAACCAUAUUUGAAGGAAUGAAAAUGGAAUGAUGCAAGAAACAGAGAGGAAGCAGAGAGUUGUUCAGGCUGAGAGAGAGAGAGAAAAAAAAAACUAAUUGGGGAGAAUGAAAAAUAAAACCCGAGGGGCGAUUUUGAGAGUAAGCAGGGAAUCAUUGUUGGAAAAUAACAGGGGCAUGGGAAGAGACUGAUUGUAGAGAAGUUUGAUGAAAAUGGAGAGUUUAUUCACAUUUAUUUCUAUUCUAUUGGUUUUAGUUUGAAUUGAUAUUACUGAGCCGUGUAGCUCAUUCUUUUAUUAUAUCAUAGAAACGAUUAAACGACCAAUUCAAGAUCUUCUGGAGUCGGACCAUGAACCAGAAUGCCUACAAAAUUAAUUGAUACAUAGCUUUGGUGGAGGGAUACCUAGUUGGAUCUUCUUCUGUUUUGCUCUUGUUCUGCAUUUUUGGAUGAGUUUAGUUGCUGUAAUAUAGAGAACUAGCUACUAUUAAGUUUUGAGGCAUGAAUUGUAUGAGUAUACAAUACGAGAUGUUAAAUGAGCAAAAUAGUAAACCCAUAAUGUUCUUUUUCUUGAGAUCAGUUGUUAUCGAAAUGCAGCAAACUCUUUUUGAUAUCGGGAUGUUACCCGUCGAUACAAACAGAUGAAUGAAUGUUUUGUCAUAUUGAUACCUAACCAUA